AAUUCACUCAGCUGCUGAGAUGGGCAGAUAUGAGACUUUCCCCUAGGACCAGUUUCCUGAUUUGACAUAGCAACAUCACCACCAGCUGGCAUGGCCCUGUGGUGCUGUCCAAUGACCUCUCGUGCCACAGAGGUUUCCCUGAUGGUGCAUUAAUGGCUCUGAAGGCAGGAAGAAAUGGACCUCUGGGAAUUAACACGGGGGAAAUGGUGGAAAGCAUGAUUAAAGAUAGAAUGACCAAGCAUAUAGAUGAUCUGGUAUUUCUGAAGAAGACAUAAGCAUGGCUUCCACAAAGCCCUGUGAACUGCGUAACAACAUUUUGAUUCUCAACUGCUUCGUCUUUUUGCUGAGCAAUGCUUUGAGAGCCAUCUGCAACGGCAAGCUCCUGACAUACUCAGACAGAAACUAGGAAGAUGAUGCGGCUGAGGGCGUUGCCUCCUGAGAUGCAGGACCUAAUGGAGUUACAAGACAACGGCAGCAUUCAUUAUCAAGAGUGCCUCAUGUCACAUGCCUGCUGAAAGGGUGUGAGGCUUCAGAUAUAA